GACGAACCGUGCGAACGUUGUUCGGAAUCACUGGGCUUAAAGGGCGCGUAGGCGGCUCGCGAGGUCGGGGGUGAAAUCCCACGGCUCAACCGUGGAAGGGCCUCCGAUACCGGCGGGCUGGAGGGAGGUAGGGGUGCGCGGAACUUCUGGUGGAGCGGUGAAAUGCGUUGAUAUCAGAAGGAACGCCGGCGGCGAAAGCGGCGCACUGGACCUCUGCUGACGCUGAGGCGCGAAAGCCAGGGGAGCAAACGGG
rnacentral:rRNA from 1 species